AUUACGAGCAACGCUUAAAACCCAAAGGAUUUGACGGUGCCCCAUCCCCCUAGAGGAGCCUGUUCUAUAAUCGAUAACCCCCGCUAUACCUCACCACUCCUAGCUUUCUCAGUCUGUAUACCUCCGUCGAAAGUCUACCAUAUGAAUGCCCUUAGUAGACACAAUGACACCCAUCAACACGUCAGGUCAAGGUGCAGCUCACGCAGUGGAAAGCAAUGGGCUACAAUUUCUAAAUUAGAACAAACGAAAGACUGUAUGAAAUAACAGCCACGAAGGCGGAUUUAGUAGUAAAAAGAAAAUAGAGUGUUCUUUUUAACCCGGCUCUGGGACGCGUACACACCGCCCGUCACCCUCUUCAAUAUUCAUCUUCUACUAGUCCAUAACCCCCCCCCCCCUUUUUUUAGAAGAGGCAAGUCGUAACAUGGGAAGUGUACUGGAAAGGGGACUUGGGAUACUCCAAAAUGUAGCUUAACCAAAGCCUCCCGCUUACACCGAGACGAAACCCGUUUAAACCAAGUCAUUUUGAGCCCACAAUCUAGCCCACAUCCUCCCCAUGUUGCCCCCAACUUAUUAAUUCUUUAAUAAAA
rnacentral:rRNA from 1 species